UGCCCUGCUCUAUGUGUUAGUGUUCAUAUGUGACAUGCACAGGGCUGCUCUUGUAAGACCCCCUUUCGGGGACCCCCACUCUAGUCUCGGGAGUGUGAGAGCACCCAAAGAAACACGAGGACCC
rnacentral:pre_miRNA from 7 species